UACGUAGGGUGCGAGCGUUAAUUGGAAUUACUGGGCGUAAAGCGUGCGCAGGCGGUUCGUUAAGUCAGCUGUGAAAGCCCCGGGCUCAACCUGGGAAUUGCGGUUGAAACUGGCGAACUAGAAUCUGGCAGAGGGGGGUGGAAUUCCACGUGUAGCAGUGAAAUGCGUGGAGAUGUGGAGGAACACCGAUGGCGAAGGCAGCCCCCUGGGCUGAGAUUGACGCUCAGGCACGAAAGCGUGGGGAGCAAACAGG
rnacentral:rRNA from 1 species